rnacentral:rRNA from 1 species
CGCGGCCUAUCAGCUUGUUGGUGAGGUAAUGGCCUACCAAGGCUUCGACGGGUAGCCGGCCUGAGAGGGCGACCGGCCACACUGGGACUGAGACACGGCCCAGACUCCUACGGGAGGCAGCAGUGGGGAAUAUUGCACAAUGGGCGAAAGCCUGAUGCAGCGACGCCGCGUGAGGGAUGACGGCCUUCGGGUUGUAAACCUCUUUCAGCAGGGAAGAAGCGAAAGUGACGGUACCUGCAGAAGAGGCGCCGGCUAACUACGUGCCAGCAGCCGCGGUAAUACGUAGGGCGCGAGCGUUGUCCGGAAUUAUUGGGCGUAAAGAGCUCGUAGGCGGUCUGUCGCGUCGGAUGUGAAAGCCCGGGGCUUAACCCCGGGUCUGCAUUCGAUACGGGCAGACUAGAGUGUGGUAGGGGAGAUCGGAAUUCCUGGUGUAGCGGUGAAAUGCGCAGAUAUCAGGAGGAACACCGGUGGCGAAGGCGGAUCUCUGGGCCGAUACUGACGCUGAGGAGCGAAAGCGUGGGGAGCGAACAGGAUUAGAUACCCUGGUAGUCCACGCCGUAAACGGUGGGCACUAGGUGUGGGGGACAUUCCACGUUUUCCGCGCCGUAGCUAACGCAUUAAGUGCCCCGCCUGGGGAGUACGG